UGGGGUAUAGCCAAGUGGUAAGGCACCGGUUUUUGAUAUCGGCAUCCCUGGUUCGAAUCCAGGUACCCCAG
rnacentral:tRNA from 1 species